CAGGAGAGGGAAUUGUCCCUGCACAUCUCAGCUCCCUUCUUCCACAACGCCCAGCCCUGGAAGGUGGCUCUGGCUCUGGUCCUCGUGCUUUUUGUGGUGUCCAUUGGCCUCGGUGUUUAUCUCUUUCGAAAGCAAGCAGCGAAAAAGGAUGCAAGCUUGGUAAGUC